rnacentral:rRNA from 1 species
GAUGAACGCUGGCGGCGUGCCUAAUACAUGCAAGUCGAGCGAACAGACGAGGAGCUUGCUCCUCUGACGUUAGCGGCGGACGGGUGAGUAAAACGUGGAUAACCUACCUAUAAGACUGGGAUAACUUCGGGAAACCGGAGCUAAUACCGGAUAAUAUAUUGAACAGCAUGGUUCAAUAGUGAAAGACGGUUUUGCUGUCACUUAUAGAUGGAUCCGCGCCGCAUUAGCUAGUUGGUAAGGUAACGGCUUACCAAGGCAACGAUGCGUAGCCGACCUGAGAGGGUGAUCGGCCACACUGGAACUGAGACACGGUCCAGACUCCUACGGGAGGCAGCAGUAGGGAAUCUUCCGCAAUGGGCGAAAGCCUGACGGAGCAACGCCGCGUGAGUGAUGAAGGUCUUCGGAUCGUAAAACUCUGUUAUUAGGGAAGAACAAAUGUGUAAGUAACUAUGCACGUCUUGACGGUACCUAAUGAGAAAGCCACGGCUAACUACGUG